rnacentral:rRNA from 1 species
AAAGCUGGCGCCUUCGGCGUCCGCAUUGUAAUCUCAAGAAGUGUUUUCCGCUUCGGACCAAGCCUAAGUCCCUUGGAAAAGGGCAUCAUAGAGGGUGAUAAUCCCGUACAUGGCUUGGAGCGCCCGAGGCUUUGUGAUACACUUUCUAAGAGUCGAGUUGUUUGGGAAUGCAGCUCAAAAUGGGUGGUAAAUGCCAUCUAAGGCUAAAUAUUGGGGAGAGACCGAUAGCGAACAAGUACAGUGAUGGAAAGAUGAAAAGAACUUUGAAAAGAGAGUUAAACAGUACGUGAAAUUGCCAAAAGGGAAGGGUAGGAGGUCAGAGAUGCGGCCUGGGAUUCAGCCUUGCUUUUGCUUGGUGUUUUUCCCAGAUUGCAGGCCAACGUCGGUUUUGGGCACUGGAGAAGGGUAGGAGGAACGUGGCACCCCUCGGGGUGUGUUAUAGCCUCCUACUGGAUACAGCGACCGAGACCGAGGACAGCAGCGUACUCGCAAGAGCGGGCCUUCGGGCACCUUUACGCUUAGGGCGUUGGCAUAAUGGCCCUCUACCACCCGUCUU